rnacentral:lncRNA from 1 species
GAGUUAGCGACAGGGAGGGAUGCGCGCCUGGGUGUAGUUGUGGGGGAGGAAGUGGCUAGCUCAGGGCUUCAGGGGACAGACAGGGAGAGAUGACUGAGUUAGAUGAGACGAGGGGGCGGGCUGGGGGUGCGAGAAGGAAGCUUGGCAAGGAGACUAGGUCUAGGGGGACCACAGUGGGGCAGGCUGCAUGGAAAAUAUCCGCAGGGUCCCCCAGGCAGAACAGCCACGCUCCAGGCCAGGCUGUCCCUACUGCCUGGUGGAGGGGGAACUUGACCUCUGGGAGGGCGCCGCUCUUGCAUAGCUGAGCGAGCCCGGGUGCGCUGGUCUGUGUGGAAGGAGGAAGGCAGGGAGAGGUAGAAGGGGUGGAGGAGUCAGGAGGAAUAGGCCGCAGCAGCCCUGGAAAUGAUCAGGAAGGCAGGCAACCAAGGGCUGUGAACCCGCCUGGGGAUGAGGCCUGGUCUUGUGGAACUGAACUUAGCUCGACGGGGCUGACCGCUCUGGCCCAGGGUGGUGGCAGUGCUCCUUUUGGACUUUUCUCUAGGUUUGGCGCUAAACUCUUCUUGUGAGCUCACUCCACCCCUUCUUCCUCCCUUUAACUUAUCCAUUCACUUAAAACAUUACCUGGUCAUCUGGUAAGCCCGGGACAGUAAGCCGAGUGGCUGUUGGAGUCGGUAUUGUUGGUAAUGGUGGAGGAAGAGAGGCCUUCCCGCUGAGGCUGGGGUGGGGCGGAUCGGUGUUGCUUGCCUGCAGAGAGGGUGGGGAGUGAAUGUGCACCCUUGGGUGGGCCUGCAGCCAUCCAGCUGAAAGUUACAAAAAUGCUUCAUGGACCGUGGUUUGUUACUAUAGUGUUCCUCAUGGCGAGCAGAUGGAACCGGGAGACAUGGAGUCCCUGGCCAGUGUGAGUCCUAGCAUUGCAGGAGGGGAGACCCUGGAGGAGAGAGCCCGCCUCAAUUGAUGCCUGCAGAUUGAAUUUCCAGAGGCUUAGGAGGAGGAAGUUCUCCAAUGUUCUGUUUCCAGGCCUUGCUCAGGAAGCCCUGUAUUCAGGAGGCUACCAUUUAAAGUUUGCAGAUGAGCUUAUGGGGGGCAAUCUUAAAAAGUCCACAGCAGAUGCAUCCGGCUCGAGGGGCCAUCAGCUUUGAAUAAAUGCUUGUUCCAGAGCCCAUGAAUGCCAGCAGGCACCCCUCCUUUCCUGGGGUAAAGGUUUUCAGAUGCUGCAUCUUCUAAAUUGAGCCUCCGGUCAUACUAGUUUUGUGCUUGGAACCUUGCUUCAAGAAGAUCCCUAAGCUGUAGAACAUUUUAACGUUGAUGCCACAACGCAGAUUGAUGCCUUGUAGAUGGAGCUUGCAGAUGGAGCCCCGUGACCUCUCACCUACCCACCUGUUUGCCUGCCUUCUUGUGCGUUUCUCGGAGAAGUUCUUAGCCUGAUGAAAUAACUUGGGGCGUUGAAGAGCUGUUUAAUUUUAAAUGCCUUAGACUGGGGAUAUAUUAGAGGAAGCAGAUUGUCAAAUUAAGGGUGUCAUUGUGUUGUGCUAAACGCUGGGAGGGUACAAGUUGGUCAUUCCUAAAUCUGUGUGUGAGAAAUGGCAGGUCUAGUUUGGGCAUUGUGAUUGCAUUGCAGAUUACUAGGAGAAGGGAAUGGUGGGUACACCGGUAGUGCUCUUUUGUUCUUGCUUCGUUUUUUUAAACUUGAACUUUACUUCGUUAGAUUUCAUAAUACUUUCUUGGCAUUCUAGUAAGAGGACCCUGAGGUGGGAGUUGUGGGGGACGGGGAGAAGGGGACAGCUUGGCACCGGUCCCGUGGGCGUUGCAGUGUGGGGGAUGGGGGUAUGCAGCUUGGCACUGGUACUGGGAGGGAUGAGGGUGAAGAAGGGGAGAGGGUUGGUUAGAGAUACAGUGUGGGUGGUGGGGGUGGUAGGAAAUGCAGGUUGAAGGGAAUUCUCUGGGGCUUUGGGGAAUUUAGUGCGUGGGUGAGCCAAGAAAAUACUAAUUAAUAAUAGUAAGUUGUUAGUGUUGGUUAAGUUGUUGCUUGGAAGUGAGAAGUUGCUUAGAAACUUUCCAAAGUGCUUAGAACUUUAAGUGCAAACAGACAAACUAACAAACAAAAAUUGUUUUGCUUUGCUACAAGGUGGGGAAGACUGAAGAAGUGUUAACUGAAAACAGGUGACACAGAGUCACCAGUUUUCCGAGAACCAAAGGGAGGGGUGUGUGAUGCCAUCUCACAGGCAGGGGAAAUGUCUUUACCAGCUUCCUCCUGGUGGCCAAGACAGCCUGUUUCAGAGGGUUGUUUUGUUUGGGGUGUGGGUGUUAUCAAGUGAAUUAGUCACUUGAAAGAUGGGCGUCAGACUUGCAUACGCAGCAGAUCAGCAUCCUUCGCUGCCCCUUAGCAACUUAGGUGGUUGAUUUGAAACUGUGAAGGUGUGAUUUUUUCAGGAGCUGGAAGUCUUAGAAAAGCCUUGUAAAUGCCUAUAUUGUGGGCUUUUAACGUAUUUAAGGGACCACUUAAGACGAGAUUAGAUGGGCUCUUCUGGAUUUGUUCCUCAUUUGUCACAGGUGUCUUGUGAUUGAAAAUCAUGAGCGAAGUGAAAUUGCAUUGAAUUUCAAGGGAAUUUAGUAUGUAAAUCGUGCCUUAGAAACACAUCUGUUGUCUUUUCUGUGUUUGGUCGAUAUUAAUAAUGGCAAAAUUUUUGCCUAUCUAGUAUCUUCAAAUUGUAGUCUUUGUAACAACCAAAUAACCUUUUGUGGUCACUGUAAAAUUAAUAUUUGGUAGACAGAAUCCAUGUACCUUUGCUAAGGUUAGAAUGAAUAAUUUAUUGUAUUUUUAAUUUGAAUGUUUGUGCUUUUUAAAUGAGCCAAGACUAGAGGGGAAACUAUCACCUAAAAUCAGUUUGGAAAACAAGACCUAAAAAGGGAAGGGGAUGGGGAUUGUGGGGAGAGAGUGGGCGAGGUGCCUUUACUACAUGUGUGAUCUGAAAACCCUGCUUGGUUCUGAGCUGCGUCUAUUGAAUUGGUAAAGUAAUACCAAUGGCUUUUUAUCAUUUCCUUCUUCCCUUUAAGUUUCACUUGAAAUUUUAAAAAUCAUGGUUAUUUUUAUCGUUGGGAUCUUUCUGUCUUCUGGGUUCCAUUUUUUAAAUGUUUAAAAAUAUGUUGACAUGGUAGUUCAGUUCUUAACCAAUGACUUGGGGAUGAUGCAAACAAUUACUGUCGUUGGGAUUUAGAGUGUAUUAGUCACGCAUGUAUGGGGAAGUAGUCUCGGGUAUGCUGUUGUGAAAUUGAAACUGUAAAAGUAGAUGGUUGAAAGUACUGGUAUGUUGCUCUGUAUGGUAAGAACUAAUUCUGUUACGUCAUGUACAUAAUUACUAAUCACUUUUCUUCCCCUUUACAGCACAAAUAAAGUUUGAGUUCUAAACUCAUUAGA